rnacentral:rRNA from 1 species
UUCAUCUAAAGCUAAAUAUUGGCCAGAGACCGAUAGCGCACAAGUAGAGUGAUCGAAAGAUGAAAAGCACUUUGGAAAGAGAGUUAAACAGUACGUGAAAUUGUUGAAAGGGAAGCGCUUGCAACCAGACUUGCAUGCCGUCGAUCAUCCUGGGUUCUCCCUGGUGCACUCGGCGGCGUUCAGGCCAGCAUCGGUUUUGGUGGUUGGAUAAAGGCCUUGGGAAUGUGGCUCCUCUCGGGGAGUGUUAUAGCCCUCGGUGCAAUGCAGCCUACCGGGACCGAGGACCGCGCUUCGGCUAGGAUGCUGGCGUAAUGGUUGUAAGCGACCCGUCUUG